AGAACGAACGCUGGCGGCAUGCCUAAUACAUGCAAGUCGAACGAACACUUCGGUGUUAGUGGCGCACGGGUGCGUAACGCGUGGGAAUCUGCCCUUGGGUUCGGAAUAACAGUUGGAAACGACUGCUAAUACCGGGAUGAUAUCGAAAGAUCAAAGAUUUAUCGCCCAGGGAUGAGCCCGCGUAGGAUUAGCUAGUUGGUGAGGUAAAGGCUCACCAAGGCGACGAUCCUUAGCUGGUCUGAGAGGAUGAUCAGCCACACUGGGACUGAGACACGGCCCAGACUCCUACGGGAGGCAGCAGUAGGGAAUAUUGGACAAUGGGCGCAAGCCUGAUCCAGCAAUGCCGCGUGAGUGAUGAAGGUCCGUUAGGGUUGUAAAGC
rnacentral:rRNA from 1 species